rnacentral:rRNA from 1 species
AGACCCGAAACCCGGUGAUCUAGCCAUGGGCAGGUUGAAGGUUGGGUAACACUAACUGGAGGACCGAACCGACUAAUGUUGAAAAAUUAGCGGAUGACCUGUGGCUGGGGGUGAAAGGCCAAUCAAACCGGGAGAUAGCUGGUUCUCCCCGAAAGCUAUUUAGGUAGCGCCUCGUGAAUUCAUCUCCGGGGGUAGAGCACUGUUUCGGCUAGGGGGCCAUCCCGGCUUACCAACCCGAUGCAAACUGCGAAUACCGGAGAAUGUUAUCACGGGAGACACACGGCGGGUGCUAACGUCCGUCGUGAAGAGGGAAACAACCCAGACCGCCAGCUAAGGUCCCAAAGUCAUGGUUAAGUGGGAAACGAUGUGGGAAGGCCCAGACAGCCAGGAUGUUGGCUUAGAAGCAGCCAUCAUUUAAAGAAAGCGUAAUAGCUCACUGGUCGAGUCGGCCUGCGCGGAAGAUGUAACGGGGCUAAACCAUGCACCGAAGCUGCGGCAGCGACACUCAGGUGUUGUUGGGUAGGGGAGCGUUCUGUAAGCCUGCGAAGGUGGCCUGUGAGGGUUGCUGGAGGUAUCAGAAGUGCGAAUGCUGACAUAAGUAACGAUAAAGCGGGUGAAAAGCCCGCUCGCCGGAAGACCAAGGGUUCCUGUCCAACGUUAAUCGGGGCAGGGUGAGUCGACCCCUAAGGCGAGGCCGAAAGGCGUAGUCGAUGGGAAACGGGUUAAUAUUCCCGUACUUGGUGUUACUGCGAAGGGGGGACGGAGAAGGCUAUGUUGGCCGGGCGACGGUUGUCCCGGUUUAAGCGUGUAGGUGUGUGUUCCAGGUAAAUCCGGUUCACUUUAACACUGAGGCGUGACGACGAGGCACUACGGUGCUGAAGCAACAAAUGCCCUGCUUCCAGGAAAAGCCUCUAAGCAUCAGGUAACAUCAAAUCGUACCCCAAACCGACACAGGUGGUCAGGUAGAGAAUACCAAGGCGCUUGAGAGAACUCGGGUGAAGGAACUAGGCAAAAUGGUGCCGUAACUUCGGGAGAAGGCACGCUGACACGUAGGUGAAGUGAUUUACUCACGGAGCUGAAGUCAGUCGAAGAUACCAGCUGGCUGCAACUGUUUAUUAAAAACACAGCACUGUGCAAACACGAAAGUGGACGUAUACGGUGUGACGCCUGCCCGGUGCCGGAAGGUUAAUUGAUGGGGUCAGCGCAAGCGAAGCUCCUGAUCGAAGCCCCGGUAAACGGCGGCCGUAACUAUAACGGUCCUAAGGUAGCGAAAUUCCUUGUCGGGUAAGUUCCGACCUGCACGAAUGGCGUAAUGAUGGCCAGGCUGUCUCCACCCGAGACUCAGUGAAAUUGAACUCGCUGUGAAGAUGCAGUGUACCCGCGGCAAGACGGAAAGACCCCGUGAACCUUUACUAUAGCUUGACACUGAACAUUGAGCCUUGAUGUGUAGGAUAGGUGGGAGGCUUUGAAGUGUGGACGCCAGUCUGCAUGGAGCCGACCUUGAAAUACCACCCUUUAAUGUUUGAUGUUCUAACGUGGACCCGUGAUCCGGGUUGCGGACAGUGUCUGGUGGGUAGUUUGACUGGGGCGGUCUCCUCCUAAAGAGUAACGGAGGAGCACGAAGGUUGGCUAAUCCUGGUCGGACAUCAGGAGGUUAGUGCAAUGGCAUAAGCCAGCUUGACUGCGAGCGUGACGGCGCGAGCAGGUGCGAAAGCAGGUCAUAGUGAUCCGGUGGUUCUGAAUGGAAGGGCCAUCGCUCAACGGAUAAAAGGUACUCCGGGGAUAACAGGCUGAUACCGCCCAAGAGUUCAUAUCGACGGCGGUGUUUGGCACCUCGAUGUCGGCUCAUCACAUCCUGGGGCUGAAGUAGGUCCCAAGGGUAUGGCUGUUCGCCAUUUAAAGUGGUACGCGAGCUGGGUUUAGAACGUCGUGAGACAGUUCGGUCCCUAUCUGCCGUGGGCGCUGGAGAACUGAGGGGGGCUGCUCCUAGUACGAGAGGACCGGAGUGGACGCAUCACUGGUGUUCGGGUUGUCAUGCCAAUGGCACUGCCCGGUAGCUAAAUGCGGAAGAGAUAAGUGCUGAAAGCAUCUAAGCACGAAACUUGCCCCGAGAUGAGUUCUCCCUGAGACUUAGAGUCUCCUGAAGGAACGUUGAAGACGACGACGUUGAUAGGCCGGGUGUGUAAGCGCAGCGAUGCGUUGAGCUAACCGGUACUAAUGAACCGUGAGGCUUAACCUUACA